rnacentral:rRNA from 1 species
AUGACUAGGGAUAACCUUAGGAAGAGACACAUCAUCAAACCCCUUGAUCGUGUUUACUGCUUGGAACAAGAGUCUUGUUCUCACCUAUUUUUUGAAUGUAUAGUUGCUAAACAUCUCUGGGCCCACAUUGAGGAAUAUUUCUCUAGUCAGAUUGGCUCAUCCUUCGAAUAUCUCGCCAGAUUCUAGAUUGCUACCAAAAAGUGCUCAGUUUUAAACAUUGUUAGCUCAGCUGUCCUUUGGUGCCUCUGGAAAUAUAGAAAUGCUAUGAUUUUUAGUAACACCUCCUGGAUUUCCAUUCUGCAGGUCUUGAGGUUGAUCAGGAACAUGGUGAGGAACUGGGCGAUUCUCUCCUCCGGAUCGGACAAGGACAAGUUGAUGAGCUUCAUGGAAACCCUAACAAGAUCCCUCCAGAAACCAUUGGCGAUCACGUGUGGCUGA